rnacentral:rRNA from 1 species
GAUGAACGCUGGCGGCGUGCCUAAUACAUGCAAGUCGAGCGAACGGACGAGAAGCUUGCUUCUCUGAUGUUAGCGGCGGACGGGUGAGUAACACGUGGAUAACCUACCUAUUAGACUGGGAUAACUUCGGGAAACCGGAGCUAAUACCGGAUAAUAUUUUGAACCGCAUGGUUCAAAAGUGAAAGACGGUCUUGCUGUCACUUAUAGAUGGAUCCGCGCUGCAUUAGCUAGUUGGUAAGGUAACGGCUUACCAAGGCAACGAUGCAUAGCCGACCUGAGAGGGUGAUCGGCCACACUGGAACUGAGACACGGUCCAGACUCCUACGGGAGGCGGCAGUAGGGAAUCUUCCGCAAUGGGCGAAAGCCUGACGGAGCAACGCCGCGUGAGUGAUGAAGGUCUUCGGAUCGUAAAACUCUGUUAUUAGGGAAGAACAUAUGUGUAAGUAACUGUGCACAUCUUGACGGUACCUAAUCAGAAAGCCACGGCUAACUACGUG